CAAACACACGCACCAAGAAGUCAUCAAAGACAGCCCAACUCACAGCCCAUGAGGGGCCCUGAGUACUGCCUCUGACCUCUCUAUGGCAAGCCAAAUGGCCAUGGGAAGACCCCAUGGAGUGUCAGAAUGAUGCCGUUGAGGGCAAGGAUUUUAGACCGGUCAUGGAUUCUGCCUGUGCACUGGGCUCUACCACUUUCUAGCUAUCUGGCUACCAGCAAGUUACCUUAACAGCCUAAGUUUCAACCUCCCCAUUCGUGAAAUGGAGAUGAUGUCUUAGUCAUAGGGGUAGCAAGUCUACUGCAUAUCAAGAGUGUAGCACUGAGCCUGGCUCUUCGUAAGUGUUCAAUAAGGAAACAGGCCGAGAGACGCAAGUCAAACAGCAAAGGAUGGGCUGCUGUCUGUCUGACUCCAAUGCCAAAGGUCUUUCCUCUAUAACCUAAAGCAAUAAAACCCCUGCAACAUCUAUCUUAUUAUUACAGAAAUUAUAAGGUUCAAUAUACCCCCCCACCACAACCACUAAUAUUACAGCUGCACAACGGCAGUCCUCACCGAGGAAUUAAUCCAGCCCAGGGAGACAGACAUGAUAUUACAUCUGACGACAGUGUAGAGGAUGCAGCAGGGAGAGAAUGAAGGCAAAAAGUGAAGUUCUUCCAACUCAUGUUGCAGUAAGACUGCCUUUGGAAUCUGCAGGGCCCUUUUAGUAGGCAGUAAAGGAAGCAUUUCAAGGAA